GAUGAAGAACGUAGCGAAAUGCGAUAAGUAGUAUGAAUUGCAGAAUUCAGUGAAUCAUCGAAUCUUUGAACGCACAUUGCGCCCCUUGGUAUUCCAUGGGGCAUGCCUGUUCGAGCGUCAUUUGUACCUUCAAGCUUUGCUUGGUGUUGGGUGUUUGUCUCGCCUUUGCGUGUAGACUCGCCUUAAAAUAAUUGGCAGCCGGCGUAUUGAUUUCGGAGCGCAGUACAUCUCGCGCUUUGCACUCAUAACGACAGCGUCCAAAAGUACAUUUUACACUCUUGACCUCGGAUCAGGUAGGGAUACCCGCUGAACUUAAGCAUAUCAAUAAGCGGAGGA
rnacentral:misc_RNA from 1 species